rnacentral:rRNA from 1 species
GAUGAACGCUGGCGGCGUGCUUAACACAUGCAAGUCGAACGAUGAAGCCCAGCUUGCUGGGUGGAUUAGUGGCGAACGGGUGAGUAACACGUGAGUAACCUGCCCUUAACUCUGGGAUAAGCCUGGGAAACUGGGUCUAAUACCGGAUAGGAGCGUCCACCGCAUGGUGGGUGUUGGAAAGAUUUAUCGGUUUUGGAUGGACUCGCGGCCUAUCAGCUUGUUGGUGAGGUAAUGGCUCACCAAGGCGACGACGGGUAGCCGGCCUGAGAGGGUGACCGGCCACACGGGGACUGAGACACGGCCCAGACUCCUACGGGAGGCAGCAGUGGGGAAUAUUGCACAAUGGGCGCAAGCCGGAUGCAGCGACGCCGCGUGAGGGAUGACGGCCUUCGGGUUGUAAACCUCUUUCAGUAGGGAAGAAGCGAAAGUGACGGUACCUGCAGAAGAAGCACCGGAUAACUACGU